UUUCCUUUUUAAUUUCCCCCCUCCUUUCAGAGUGAGGGUCCUCCCCUUGCCUUUCGCAGGGUUGCGUAGAAGUGUGGAGGUGCCGCUGAGGGGCCUUUCCCCUUCAUCCGAUCUUGUUGGGCGACCGGGUUUCAUCACCGUCAGGAUGAGGUUCUCUUUUCAUUCCUAACGUAGUCGAUCUCAGCUCAGAUUAGGAUGAGGUUCUCCUCCUGUUUCCAAUGGGGCCGCGGGGGCACAUAAGGGCCAUCGCAAGGGCCUCUUUCCCCAUCCGAUCUAAAAGAACUGGGCCUUCGACUUUGCUCGAGUCAGGACGAGGUUCUCUUCCUGUUCCUGACAUGGCUGUGGGGGCACAUUAGGGCAUUGUAAGGCCUCUCCCCCCAUCUGGUCUGA
rnacentral:lncRNA from 1 species